rnacentral:rRNA from 1 species
GUGGGGAAUAUUGGACAAUGGGCGAAAGCCUGAUCCAGCCAUGCCGCGUGUGUGAAGAAGGUCUUCGGAUUGUAAAGCACUUUAAGUUGGGAGGAAGGGCAGUAAGUUAAUACCUUGCUGUUUUGACGUUACCGACAGAAUAAGCACCGGCUAACUUCGUGCCAGCAGCCGCGGUAAUACGAAGGGUGCAAGCGUUAAUCGGAAUUACUGGGCGUAAAGCGCGCGUAGGUGGUUUUGUAAGUUGGAAGUGAAAUCCCCGGGCUCAACCUGGGAACUGCUUUCAAAACUGCUGAGCUAGAGUACGGUAGAGGGUGGUGGAAUUUCCUGUGUAGCGGUGAAAUGCGUAGAUAUAGGAAGGAACACCAGUGGCGAAGGCGACCACCUGGACUGAUACUGACACUGAGGUGCGAAAGCGUGGGGAGCAAACAGGAUUAGAAACCCGAGUAGUCC